rnacentral:rRNA from 1 species
UACUAGAGUAGCACUCGCAUAUCAAUAAGCGGAGGAAAAGAAACUAACAAGGAUUCCCCUAGUAACGGCGAGUGAAGCGGGAAGAGCUCAAAUUUGAAAUCUUAAAGGGUUUCCCUUUACGAAUUGUAGUUUAAAGAAGUGUUUUCUGUUGAGGUUUUGGUAAAAGUUCUUUGGAAUAGGACAUCAUAGAGGGUGAGAAUCCCGUAUUUGACCUUUACUUUCAACUUUGUGAUACACUUUCAAAGAGUCGGAUUGUUUGGGAAUGCAGUCCAAAAUGGGUGGUAAAUUUCAUCUAAAGCUAAAUAUUGGCGAGAGACCGAUAGCGAACAAGUACCGUGAGGGAAAGAUGAAAAGAACUUUGAAAAGAGAGUUAAACAGUACGUGAAAUUGUCAAAAGGGAAGCGUUUGACACCAGUGUUGUUUUUCUGAAAAUCAAUUAAAGAACUGUUUAUGCUAAGCUUGUUUAGACUUUAUCAGCUAACUGUUUAGUUUUGAGCUUUUCUUUAAUGCACUUUUCAGUUAACAAGUCAACAUCAAUUUCUUUUGCUGUAAAAAAGCUUGAGGAAGGUGGCAUGAGAUUCGUCUUAAGUGCUUAUAGCCUCUUGCCUAUGCAGUCCGGAGAGAUUGAGGUCUGCAGCGUAGAUCCUUCGGGGCUAAAUGCAUUUGUGCUAAGUUAUAACAUUUUAUAGACAACUUGUUGACUAUGAUUUGUCUUGUAGCUUACUCGCUUAUGUUAUUUUACCUACGCUUAGGAUGUUGAGUCAUCACACAUCUCU